GACGAACGCUGGCGGCGUGCUUAACACAUGCAAGUCGAACGAAGAGCGAUGGAAGCUUGCUUCUAUCACUCUUAGUGGCGAACGGGUGAGUAACGCGUAAUCAACCUGCCCUUCAGAGGGGGACAACAGUUGGAAACGACUGCUAAUACCGCAUACGAUCUAAUCUCGGCAUCGAGGAUAGAUGAAAGGUGGCCUCUACAUGUAAGCUAUCACUGAAGGAGGGGAGUGCGUCUGAUUAGCUAGUUGGAGGGGUAACGGCCCACCAAGGCGAUGGUCAGUAGCCGGUCUGCGAGGAUGGGCGGCCGCAUUGGGACUGAGACCCGGCCCAGUGUCCUACGGGUGGCAGCCGUGGGGCAUCUUCCGCCAUCGGCGGAAGUCUGACGGAGCAACGCCGCGUGAGUGAUGACGGCCUUCGGGUUGUAGAGCUCUGUUAAUCGGGACGAAAGGCCUUCUUGCGAAUAGGGAGAAGGAUUGACGGUACCGGAAUAGAAAGCCCCGGCUAACUACGUG
rnacentral:rRNA from 1 species